AAGAUGUACAGUGUAAUCUCAACUUGAUUCUUUUAUUCUUUGAAUUGAAAUUGUUCUUUCGUGUUGAUUUCAUUGUUGAUUCCAUGCUUGAUUCUUUUGAUUGUCGAAUACAUUGAAAUACUAAAUGAACUUACAUAUGCACACCAAUAUUGAACAAUUAGAAAGGUGAUUGUUUUCAACUUAUGCAGAUAAUUUCAUGCUGUGAUGAUUAACCUGUAGAAUAAUUCUUAACUUUUUAAUUCCGAAUCCUUUUUGCGAGAGAAAUGUGCCAAGACGCGUAAAGACAAUGCAAACUGCCAAUUAGGACCCGGGAACGCCUAUUGGUCGAUGGGGUGCCUGAAGACAGUUUGAUAAAACUCCGGCCAGAAAUUUGACAGAAGCGAUGGCCUCCUAAUCUGAAAUCCACCAAAGGCUUAAACAAAUCCCACGUGACCUUCACUUCCAGUGAGCAAGCUAUUGCAUAAUUGUUGAUUUGGCCGCCACAUCUCUCAUUCAGAUGUUGGUUGAGCAAUACGAUAGAUUUCAGGCGACAAACAUUGACUAGUGUGAAUUUUGACACGGUACAGAAUUCACAGGAAAGUUCACUGGUGAGAAUGGCUCUGACUUCCAAAUUGUCAUGCUGGUAAAUUCUUGUCCAACGCCCUUAUGAAAAGAGCUCGACAAUUGGAGAUGCAACGAAACACGUCCUUGUGCACCAGCCUGUUUGGACAGAACAGCAUACUCUCGGACAAUUUUAACAAGAGACCAUUAAAAAAAGAUUGUGAAUGUGAUCAUUUGGAGCAUUAUUCACGUGUUAGAAACUUAAAUAUUAUUAAUGUAGAUUAAGGUGGUUUAACAGGGUGAGGCAGGUCUUUGGCAGACUAUUUGCUAUAGUUUACUUCUUACUUUUGAUGCCUUUGUAUAAUAUAUUUGUAUUAGUGUCUUGAGGAAACUUAAGGGAAAUUGAGAAAUAGCAUUCUUUUUAUGCUUUUCUGAAGGAGGCACCAACAUUUCAUGACUC